CUGGGUUUCAUGUGGCCUCCACACUUACCUCUUCUUUUCCUGACUUCCAUUUUCCCAGUCAGCCUAGGGUUUCCUGUGUCUGGCUCAAGGACUUGCACACUAAACUCUUCCCAAUUCACAGAGAAUGACCCUCAUAGGAAUCCAUUGCAAAAGUGCUUCCUUCUAAACACUGUCGCAUUUUAAUGACUGGGCAGCUUUGAUAAUUUUAAUACUGUAAAGUCCCAUUUCAGCUGCCAACAAGGAAAGUCUUGUUCUCCUGCUUCUUUCGGAGGGCUGGAUGAUUACUUUAUUAUGAGAAGCAGGCAGCUGUGUUUGGCUUUUUCCUGGUAAUCUAGUCUCUCUUUCAUUUCAUCUGCACAGGUUUCUCAUUGUGAAGGGGCUCUUUCAUUGAGAUAUUGCAGGAUGGGACUGUUUCUUGCUACAGAUUAUGUAGCUGCCACAGAUUUCAGAGAGCAAAAGAGACGUUGGCACUACUGGACAUCCCCAUCACAACAGGCGGCCUCUGAGACACUGUCUCAACCUCAACUGCACCUGUGAGAGGCUAAUCCGAGGUGUGAGAAAACUGCUUCACCGUGGACUUGCCUUUGUCAUGGUUUCUGCCUUUCCCAGAUAGCCCUGCAAGUCCCAGGAUGAAGGGAGAAAGUGAGGUCAUGAGCCUGGCCGUCUUUCACUGACACCCACCUCUAGGAUCUCAGGAAAUCCUCAGUGCCCCUCAACAGCACUACUGGACAUCCCUAUCACCACAGAUGGCCUCUGAGACAUUGUCUCAACCUCAUCUGCACCUGUGAGAGGCCAGUCCGAGGGGUGAGAACACUGAUCCACUUUGGACUUGCCUUUGUCCUGGUUCCUGCCUUUCCCAGAGAGCCCCUGUGAGGCCCAGGAUGAAGGGAGGCAGUGAAGUCAACAGCCUGGCCAUAUUUCGACACUACAACUGCCUCUGGGGUCUCAAGUAUGAUUCUAUCUCCCAAAGAACCCUCAACAACACACCACACUAUAUUCCAAUCACCAUGGACCUGAGUCUUGCACACAGCUUCUUUCAAGAAUGGAGUCAGAAAAGCAGUUAUCAGCAACGACCUCACAGUCGUGAAUUGCCUUGACCUCCAGCGUGACCCGACCACAGAGAUGACUCGAAGGGGCCCUAAGAUCAAGACUUUCAGGGUUUCCCAGUGGGUUUUCGUAGGCGGACUUUUUCCCGAUAUCAGGCAGGCUCUGCCGGUACCAUUUUCCUCUGCAUAGGCAGGCUGACAUCUCUGACAGCCUAGCGUGGGCGCCUCCAUCGCGAAUGCGCAUGCGCUAGUCUUAGGGCACGGGGCCUGAGCUGUGAGCUGUGGUUAACAUCCCAAUAAAUGCCUCCGUUCCCUAGCCACAAGUCCCUGUGGCUCGACUUAGAAGGACACCUUGGUGGAGGUGCGUCGGCAGUGGUCUCUUGCCUGCCUUAUCUGUGGGAUCCAUGGGAUAGUCCCAUGUUCCUAAGAGAGGUCAGACGUGAGCAGCCUGAAGAAACCUCAAGCAGAGCCCAAGGAAUAAAUCACGAAAUCCCUAAGGAUCUAAAAGGAUCUGCAUGAUGCCUCAGACCUGCCUAGAUGUUGUAGGGUGAAUUGGGAGUUUGACUGAGACCAGCUGGGAUCCAAAUCACCUCCCCCUGCAAAAGAAGCCACUCUUCCAGAAAGAAGAGGAGCACACCACACCCAUAAACAGACAUCUAGUGUUUCAUUGUCCUGUGGCCAACCCAAGGAGGGAUACUAGCAUUCCUGUCUGCAGACCCCAUUGAAUUUACAUCACAUUUGGUUAUCGGUUGAGUAGGAGCUUCACAUCAUGAGGGGACAGUCCUCUGUCAUCUUCGUUCUGGGACAGAGAGUGUGAACAGCAAUAAGUUGAAAUUGUGGGACCCAUCCACUCCUCACUAGAUUGUAUCCUCAACCCUAUCUGACCUUAUUGCUGCUCACACUCUGUGUCCCAGGAUGAAAUCUCAAGAUGAUGGAGGAGUGCCCCCUUUGACCUGAAGCACCUGCUCAGCUAGGAACCAAAUUCAAGGGGGAGGUGACUUGGACGCUGGCAAGUCUCGACCCGCCCCCCAAUAUACUGGGGAUUCAUGAUCCACAGAAAAAUAGAGAACACAGCCCUGCGACUAAAGCAAAGCCACACAGACAAGCCAUCAAAAUGUUGAGAGACUCAAAUAAAGAAGCACUGAAAUGUGUUAGCCACAUUCUUUUAAGCAGACUCCAUUUGCAGGAACACACACACACAAAGACACAAUACCACACAAACACAUGCAGAAAUCUGACACUCAUAACACUCCCACAGAAACACACAGCCCGGCAGCUUCUGAGGCUGUGUGUUUCUGUAGGAAGCCCCACCUUGGAGAGAGCAACCCCAGGGAACAGAGGCAGGCUCUAACUAAAAAUAUCAUGGGGGCAAGUUUCAUAAAGACUCACUCCUAGAACUCCUGGGCAGGCCUAAGGAAUCCUGCAGAUGAUUUUGGAUCCACAGGGAUUUUGUAGUUUAUUCCUGGGGCUCUGCUUGACAUUUCUUCAGGCUCACUCACAUCUUUCUCUCCUAGGAUCAUGGGAUUAUUCCAUGUAUCCCACAGAGAAGACAGGUGAGAGUCCACCAGCGCACCUCCACAGAGGUCUCUUUCUCCACAAGCUGCAGGGACUUGUCUCUUGCCAACAGUGACAUUCCUUGUGACACUUGCCAGAACUCAAAAUCAGGCAUGGUGCCCUGAGUCUAGCUCAUGCACAUUCGUGAGGCAGGCUCUGGCAUCCGGCUGUCAGAGCUGUCAGCCUGACUAAGCAGAGGAAAAUGCUGCAAGCAGAGCCGGCCUUGUAUCAGGAAAAAGGAUGCCUAUGAAAACCCACUGCGAGACCCUAAAAGUCUCAAACUCAGGGCCUCUUUGGGCCAUCUCCAUGGUCAGGUCCCACUGGAGGAGGAGGUGUUUCAAGACUGUGAGGUGGUCGCUGGAAACUGCUCUUCUGACUCUAUUCCUGAAAGAGGCUGUGUGCAAGAAUCAGGUCCCAUGGAGAUUGGAAUAGAGUCUCUUGUGUUGUUGGGGUUCUUUGGGUGAUAGAAUUAUACUUGAAACCCCAGAGGUGGGCAUCACUAAAAGAUGCCCGAGCUUGACCUCAUGGCAUCCCUUCAUCCUGGGUCUCACAGGGGCUGUCUGGAAAAGUCAGGAACCAUCACAGAGGAAAGUCCAAGGUGAAGCAGUUGUCUCACACCACAGACUGGUCUCUCCUUGGUGCAGAUGAGGUUGACACAGUGACUCAGAGGCUGUCUGUGGUGAUAGUAAGCCUGAAAAUUGUGUUCAGCAGUGCUGUAGUGCUGUUAAGGGUCAUUGUAGAUUUUUCAUGAAAGCAAGGAAAAAACAAGGCUUGCCUGAGGAAAUGAGCUGCCUUGUGCUGGAGUCCAAACUUGGACUGAACUCUUAUGGGUAAAGAUAAGGUAGAGACCAUGUCUCAGAGGUCAUCUUUGAUGAUGCCAAGCCUGAAAAUGAUAUCCAGUAGAGCUGUUGAAGGACACUGUAGAUUGUCCAUAAAAGCAAAGAAAAAUCAAGGUUCACCUGAUAGAAUGAGCUGCAUUGACCUGGAGUUUAAGCAAUGUUCAAUGCUUCCUGUUAGAGGUCCCAAAAGCCUCCUGCAAAUUGCAAACAACCUCAGCCCCCAUAACGAGACAACGACUCAAAACUUGGAGCACCGCCAGACUCCUCAAAGUCCCUUUUGCUCUUUGAAAUCUCUGGAAGCAAAAUAAUCUUUGGCAAGAGGCAGUCCCAUCCAGCCACAGCCCAAUGAAAGAACCCCCACUCAACGAGAAGACCAUGUAGAUGAAAAAAAUCAGAGACUAGAUUGCCAGGCAAAAGCCAGACAGGGCUGCCUGCUUCUCAUCCUACAGGAAUCAUGCGGAAUGCCAAGAGAAGUGAAAAAAAAAAGAGUUUCCUUGUUGGCAGCUGUAAGGGAAUUUACAGUUUUAAAGGUAUCAAAGCUGCCCAGUCAUUAAAUUGUGACAGUGUUUAGAAGGAAACACUCAGGCAAUGGAUUCCCAUUAGGGUCAUUCUCUGUGAACUGAGAAACGUUUACUGUGUCAUUGAGCCAGACACAGGAAAACCUGCACCAACAAGAAACAUGGACAUCAGAGAAAGAAGAGUCAAGUGUGGAGGCCAUAUCCCACCAAGCAUCAAUCCAUUUCAUUCCCAUUUGGCUCCCGGUGAAGUUGUGGGAUCUCAUCCAAUUCCCACCAGAUUGUAUCCUCACCCCUGUCUGACCUUAUUGCUGCUCACACUCUAUGUCCCAAAAUGAAAACCCAAGUUGAUGGAGUAUUGCCCCCUCAUGAUGUGAAGAAACUGCUUGGCUGGGACCUGAAUUUGAGGUGAAGUUGCUGGACCCCAUUUUCCAUUCAGCAGAUUGUAUCCUCACCACAGCUGACCUUAUUGCUGCUCAGACUCUAUGUUCCAGGAUAAAAUCACAAGAAGAUGUAGUAGUGCCCCCUCAUGAUGUGAAGCAUGUUCACAGCUGGGAACCAAAUUCGAGGUUAAUCUAAGUGGCCUUGCAGACAGAUCUGCUAGUGUCUCUCCCUGCGUUGUCCUCAAGAUGAUGGAAACACUGAGAGAUACCUGGUUUUUGGUGUGGUGUGCUACUCUUCUGGAAGAGUGGUUUUUAGUGCAGGGGGAGGUGAUUUGGACGCUGGCGGGUCUUGGCCCACCUCCAAAUUCACUGCGGAUUCAUGAUCCACAGAAAAAUAACACGGAGCCAUGCAGCCCAAGCAUAGCCACACAGACAGGCCACCAAAAUGUAGUGAGGCUAAAAACAAGAAGCACUGAAGUGUGUUAGCCCCAUUCCUUUAAGCAGACUCCACUUACAGGCACACACACACACACACAAUGCCACACACACUCGAUGUCAAACACUCACAACAUGCCCACAGAAACACACAGCAUGGCAGAUCCUGAGGUUGCAUAGUUCUGCAGGAGGCCCCACCUGGGAGACAGCAACCCCAGGGAACACAGGCAGGCUGUACCUAGAAAUCACAUUGGGGCAAGUUUCAAAGCCCAUACAACUUAUAGGCUGGCCUGAGGAAUUCUGCAGAUCCUUUGGGAUCCUUAGGGAUUUUGCAGUUUAUUUCUGGGGCUGUGGUUGAUGUUUCUUCAGGCUGACUCCCACAAGCUCUCUGACCUUGGUUGAUGUUUCUUCAGGCUGGCUCACAUCUGCCCUCUCAUAGUAUCAUGGGACUAUCCUGUGGAAUCCACAGAAAAGACAGGGGAGAGUCCACUGUCAAUGCACCUCCAAGCAGAUCUCCUUUUCUGCCAAGCCACAGGGACUUUUUGCUAGGCAACAGUGACAUUCAUUGUGAGGCUAGCCAGAAUUCACCAUCAGGCCUGGUGCCCUGAGAAUAGUACAUGCACAUUCUUCAGGCAGGUUCAAGAACCCAGCUGUCAGAGCUGCCAGCCUGCCUAGGCAGAAGAAAAUGCACAGGCAAAGCUGGCCUCACAUCGGGAAAAUGGCUACCUGUGAAAACCCACUGUGACACCCUAAACGUCUUGACCUUAGGGUCCCAUGGGCAGUCUCCACGGUCUCCUCCCGCUGGAGGAGUAGGCAUUUCAAGACUGUUAGGUGGUCGCUGGAAACUGCUCUUCUGACUCCAUUCCUGAAAGAGAAUGUGUGUGUACAAUACCCCAAUCCCAUGGGGAUUGGGAUAUAGUCUGUUGUGUUGUUCAGUGUUCUUUGGGUGAUAGAAGACCCCAGAGGCAGGUGUCAGCAAAAGCUGGCCAGACCCUUAAUCUCACUGCCUCCCUUCAUCCUGGGCCUCACAGGUGCUCUCCCAGAUAAUCAAGAACCAAAAGAAAGGCAAGUCGAUGUUGGAGACAUGUUCUCACACUUUGAACUGGCCUGUCAUGGGUGCAGAUGAGGUUAAGACAGUGUCUCAGAGGCGGUCUGUGGAGAUUGCUACCCUUAGGGUAUCCAGUAGUGUUGAUGUAAGAGCACUGUGGAUUCCUAAUGACAGGAGAAAAAAAUCACUUGAGAGAAUUGUUGGGAAACCAGCCCCACAAUGCCCCGUGGGUACCCUAAAUCCAACAGAGACAAAUAAUUAGAAAGAGACAGAAUGAGAGUUUAAAAGGCAGGUCCAGGGGACCAGAGAAUUGGAGGCUUGCUCAUGGCCUGGAGCUCUCAGCCACCACCCAAUUUAUUGCUUUACAAGCUCUUUGUUCUUAGGGCAGAUCUGAGGGGUAGGAAGGGCUGAGGGAAAGGAUUAAUCAGUGAGGGAGAACCCGUGAGUCAUUCAAUAAGAUGUAUAGCAGUAGCAGUUUCUGUGAAUUUCCUCUAGCAAAGGCGUGUGUCUAAACUACUUAAUAUAUUUAACUUAUCAGGACUGAAAUGGAUGGGAGAAGGCUUCAGGAGAAGCCAAGAUGUUUGAUUAUACUCCACUGCUUCAAGAGAGUGUUAUUUCCCUGAGCAACCUGUGGCAGCCCGCUGAGCUGUUAUGCUCUCUGGGCAUAAGGACAUGAAGGCAAUAAGGAGACUUUUCUCCUCAGAGGCCACCCAUGGGAGUGACUCCCCAUGGGAGUCUCACACCGGAGAGAUCAACUCAUUUGGCAUCCCAGAAACUCUCUUUCCCACAUGUCCCACUUUUUUGUCUCCAUUUUUUUAAAUUAAUAACCACCAUUGCUAUCAUAGCUCAUUCACGGUGUCUAUCUACUCUCCCAAGAUGCUGUCUGCAUCAGUAGGUUAAAAAAAAAACAGCAUAAAAAGACACACACCAAAGUAAUAUUUGCAAUUGAUGAUCCACCUAUGGUUUUAAUUCACUUUAAAGGAUUAGUGUUAAAAAGGCCCUCAGUGGUUCCAGCAAGAAUAUCAGCUCUAGGCAACAGGAUGGGAUGAGCCUGAGAUGCGGCAAAAAGUUGUUUUUUCAGUUUAGCAGGAUCUAAUGUUAAAUUAUCUUCUUCUCCUGGUAGGUGAUGUCUAAUCAUCUCCCAGUGGUGUUCAGUGAUAUUAUAAGAGCUAGGAGGAAUACGAAAUCAGAAGUAUUCCAAUCACAUUGCAUUUGAAUUCUAUGCUCCAAGUUCAUAAUCCGAUCUCCCAUUCAGAUUACUGUCUGAUGAUCAUUAAUUUGAUUUGCCAAUUUUUGAUCUAUUUGGCUUUGGGAAUUCCAAAGCUUGGAAGAAUUUUUCUGACAACUAUGCACAGCGCUCGCAGGUUGAAUAGAAGAGUGCAAAGCAAAGCCAGCAGCAGCAGCUAUAGCUGUGACAGAUUUAAGACCCAUGAUG
rnacentral:lncRNA from 1 species